rnacentral:rRNA from 1 species
GACGUAAGUGGCGAACGUUAUCCGGAAUUAUUGGGCGUAAAGGGUGCGUAGAUGGUUUGAUAAGUUAACGGUGGUAAAUCGAGGCCCAACCUCGUGGAAGCCGGUAAUACCGUCCGACUAGAGGCAGGAGAGGUUAACGGAAUGGUUCGUGGAGGGGUAAAAUCCAUGAGAAUAUGAACUAGAACACCAAUAAACGGCGA